UUGCCUCUUUGCCGGUCCUCCUCGGUGACCGUUCUCCUGCGCGAAAGGACCUUGGGCUCCCCCUCUGCCCGGGCGGCUAGCGGGAGCUAUACGAAGCUGCAGUGGGGAAGUCGGCGGCGUUACGUGGCAUUGACCCAGAGCUCUGAGACUCCUCAGCACAAUGACUCAAGCAGAAAUUAAACUGUGUUCUUUGUUGCUGCAAGAGCAUUUUGGAGAGAUCGUAGAAAAAAUUGGAGUCCACCUAAUCAGAACUGGCAGCCAGCCACUAAGAGUUAUUGCCCAUGACACAGGAACAUCGUUGGAUCAGGUAAAAAAAGCCCUUUGUGUCCUCAUCCAGCAUAACCUGGUGAUAUAUCAGGUGCACAAACGUGGUGUGGUAGAGUAUGAAGCCCAGUGCAGCCGGGUGUUGCGAAUGCUUAGGUAUCCCCGGUACAUCUAUACUGCCAAAACGCUGUACAGUGACACUGGUGAGCUGAUUGUUGAGGAGCUCCUGUUGAAUGGCAAGAUGGCAAUGUCAGCUGUAGUGAAGAAAGUAGCAGAUCGGCUCACAGAGACUAUGGAGGAUGGCAAGACCAUGGACUAUGCUGAGGUCUCAAACACAUUUGUGCGACUAGCAGACACACACUUCGUGCAGCGUUGCCCCUUGGUGCCUGCCACUGAGAAUUCAGACCCUGGGCCACCGCCACCUGCCCCCACUCUUGUCAUCAGUGAAAAGGACAUGUACCUGGUUCCUAAACUGAGCUUGAUAGGGAAAGGUAAAAGGAGGAGAUCAUCUGACGAAGAUGCAACUGGGGAGCCCAAGGCCAAGAGACCAAAACAUACCACAGAUAACAAAGAGCCCAUUCCAGAUGAUGGGAUUUAUUGGCAGGCCAACCUUGACAGAUUCCACCAGCACUUCCGUGACCAAGGCAUUGUCAGUGCAGUUGCCAACAGGAUGGACCAGGUGAUAUCUAAGUGGGUGGGACAGUGGCUAUCAGGAAUAUUCACUUAUUUGCAGAUGUGGCCAUUGGCAUAUAGCCAGAGCCAGCACAGCAGAGUGAAUUCUGAUUUCCAGUUCACUUUUCAAACCCAGACAAGCAGCGAGAUCGUGCGGACCAUGCUCCGGAUGAGUGAGAUUACCACUUCCUCUAGUGCCCCCUUCACCCAGCCAUUGUCUUCCAACGAGAUCUUCAGAUCCCUACCUGUUGGCUAUAACAUCUCUAAGCAAGUUCUUGAUCAGUAUCUCACUCUGCUGGCAGAUGAUCCACUUGAGUUUGUUGGAAAGUCUGGCGACAGUGGUGGAGGAAUGUAUGUCAUCAACCUACAUAAGGCUCUAGGAUCUCUAGCCACAGCCACUCUGGAGUCGGUCAUACAAGAGAGAUUUGGGUCUCGCUGUGCCAGAAUAUUCCGUUUAGUUUUACAAAAGAAACACCUGGAGCAGAAACAGGUAGAAGACUUUGCAAUGAUUCCAGCAAAGGAGGCAAAGGAUAUGCUUUAUAAAAUGCUCUCAGAAAAUUUCAUAUCACUCCAGGAAAUUCCCAAAACACCAGACCAUGCCCCAUCCAGGACCUUCUAUUUAUAUACUGUGAACAUCCUGUCAGCUGCCCGAAUGUUGCUGCACAGAUGCUACAAGAGUGUAGCCAACUUGAUAGAAAGGAGGCAAUUUGAAACCAAAGAAAACAAGCGUCUACUGGAAAAGUCUCAGAGGGUAGAAGCCAUCAUUGCAUCUAUGCAGGCUACAGGUGCAGAGGAGGCACAGCUACAAGAAAUAGAGGAGAUGAUCACAGCCCCUGAACGCCAGCAGCUAGAGACCCUGAAACGUAAUGUCAACAAGUUGGAUGCCUGUGAGAUCCAGGUGGAUGAAACCAUCUUCCUGCUGGAGUCAUACAUCGAGAGCACCGUGAAGAGACAAUGACCCAGAAGAAGAGUCUUCCUCAGAAGAUCUGAGGGGAUUGGAAGGAAGAAUAAAGGAGGGGACUCCCGGCUCCAUCCCUGGUUGGGGAACUAAGAUCCCACAUGCUGGGGCAACUAGGCCCCUGGUGCUCUGGAGCCUGCAUGCCACAACUAUAGAGAAGCCUGCAUGUCACAACUAUAGAGAAGCCCACAGGCGGCAACAAAAGAUCCCACAUGAUGCAACUAAGACCCCACACAACCAUAAAUAAA